GGGCGAGCGGGCAGUGGGCACGAGGGAGCCGCGUGGCACGUCACACAGGAAUGACCGUUUGGCCAGCUCUGGGAACAGAAGGGAUGGCGCCUGCGGGACGCCCCCUCCCCACCCCUGUACCGAGGGCUCCCGUGUUCCCUUUUGUUGUGUUAAGAGGUGAUCCCUUCCUGCAGACUGGUGCGGAUUCCUAGAGGACAGGCAGUAACUUCGUUUCUGCCGGGGAGAUGGUCAGAGCCCUGGGACCUGAGGGCUUUCAUAACUAGUUUCUGGACGGCUGCACGCAGAAAGCACUACACACCAAGAGCCGAGGGCGGGCAGCUGAGCGCCAGACAUCCAGUCCAGACUGGAAAGAACAGGAAUGAAGGUUUCAUCACCUUGGAAAGUGGGGAGAUAAACAUCUAAAAUCCAGGCCCAUGAGUCUUUGGGAACGUGUUUAUGGAAUAUGAAAACUAACAGCAAGCAAGUUUUGCUUAGCCAGUAAGUUACGAGGAGAUAAAAAAGAAACAGACUGAGUGAAUAAGGUAAAUAACUUGCAAAGCACCCAGAUCUCAGGGCCCAGGAGCUAAGAGGAAAAGCUACACAUUUCACUUGGCUUGGCUGAAGAACUUAAAAACGACCUUACUGUAAUAUAUUGGUCAACUAGUUCUUUAUUUAUUACCAAGUCCUUUGUACAUCUACGCAAAGAAACAAAUUUUAGAAUUUUAAAAAUAUAUUUGAAAAGCUGAGAGGAAAACAAUCAUUAAAAUUAGGGUAUA